GCUUGUCCGCCCAGUUGAGAGUUGAGACGGGUUUUCUUCUCUUCCUCCUUCCUCGUCCUAAGUUUUUGUAUCGACCGUGUGAUCAUCCUCAGGAAGAGGAUUUCUGCCCGACAUGCUCUACAACAUCUCCCCCGCACCAGAUAUCGACAGCAUCACACUGCAAAUCAAUUCUCUGGAUACCGAUGGCAACUACUAGUUUCUCUCUGCCUUUUGUUAGUUUCUCUUAGAUAAUAACAUCGUCGACUCUUUCAUUCCAAGGAGAGCUGAGGGAGACAACACUUAUGCACUAGCAAACCGACGGCUGCUUUCAGAGAAGGACGUCUUUAACGUCGUCAAAUUCCUCGGAGAUGUGCGACUCUCACAUGGUGCAGCGCUGACGUGGGUCCUGUGAUUGGGAGUGCAGUGUGUUGUUCUGCGCUAGCGUCUGUGCUUGGCUGGUAUAAACGGGCCACCGAAAGCAAAAGGAGAGGGAAGAGGCGGUGGCAUGGAUUGGAGUAUUCUCUCGUGGCUCUUGUCUUUCUUCAUCCUCAUAGCUCUGAUCGGCAUUAUCAUCUUUCAGCUUAUGUGCUUGGCUGACCUAGAAUUUGAUUAUAUCAAUCCUUAUGAUUCAGCAAGAAGGAUAAAUAGUGUGGUCUUGCCAGAAUUUGGCACAUUAGGAGCCCUCUGUUUCCUCUUUCUCAUUUCAGGGCAUUGGUUUAUGUUUAUCUUGUGUCUUCCAUAUCUGUACUACAAUGCAAGAAUGUAUAUGCGCAGGCAGCACUUGGUGGAUGUAACUGAGAUUUUCAACAUGCUCAACUGGGAAAAGAAGCAACGACUUGUUAAGCUUGUUUAUUUAAUCGUCCUGGUCUUCUUUACUAUAUUCUGGAUGAUUUGGAGUGUAUUGGAUGAAGAUACGUAGUAGUAUUUCACCAGCACCAUGGUUACCUCUCCUGCUAAUGUCCAAAUGAUGGUCCAGAAUGGGGAACAUUAAAGAUGGUGCCGAUUUUUUUGUCUUGGAUUUCUUGAACGUGUUAUGCUGAGUGGUAAUCUUGCCGAGGCUUCCGAGAUACAUGGCAACAAUAAAAACUUCACGUGGCAUUGUUGUAUGGGAUGUAGCCUCUUUCCUCGUUAAACCGACAGCAUACAAAUUUCGGUGUCAGCUCAAGUGAGCUGAAAUAGUGGCUUCUGGCUUUGUGAGGUGGACUCCACCUGGACAGCCAAAGAGUUAUUCUUGUUGACCGUCUGAAAAUCAAAACAUGGCUCUGUUGAAGUUUGUUUAGUGGCUUCUCCAAAGCUGCUCAUCCAACGCUUCAGCCCUCCCAAAUGGGCCCUAGAUUCUUAGAACUGUAUAUUGGUCUUUGACGUCUCAGUUGCUGAUUUCGUUGUAUGGAGACCAUGGGUAUGUUUGGGACCAUAUCUUUGCAUUUCCGUUUAGACUCACUCAAGUGUCAUGUAGGUGUUUUGAGUUUUUCAUACUAGAAUUAUAUUUGGUUGGAUAGCAUUUUCGUCAAGUAUCUUAUGUAGCACCUAGUGUAGUGGUGCUUAUGUGUUGAACUCAAUAAAAAAUGUGCAUUGAAUUAUGUGCAAAACAGUUUAUUUUCCUGA